rnacentral:piRNA from 1 species
UAACUGGAAACGGUGUCAUGCCAUUCUGA